rnacentral:rRNA from 1 species
CUGUUUAUCAAAAACAUAACUAUAGGGUUUAUCUAUAGCUAUUUCUGCUCCAUGCAAAGUAAAUAGCCGCAGUACCCUGACUGUGCUAAGGUAGCAUAAUCAAUAGGCUUAUAAUUUAGGUCUGGAAUGAAGGAAGCCAUGGGGGUCAACUGUCUUACCGGGUGCCGUUUGAAUUUUUUUAAGAAGUGCAAAAACUUUUAUUUAAUUAUUAGACGAGAAGACCCUGGAAAUUUUUUGAUACAUUUUGUUGGGGCGACAAGGUAACAUUUAACUUACCUUAGUAUUGGUAGUUUAUGUGCAGAACGACGAAAUUACUCCAGGGAUAACAGCAUAAUUUAGCAAAGUUUGUGACCUCGAUGUUGGACUAGGGACUUUUAAGUUUAGAAGAAUUAAAAGACGGCUCUGUUCGAGCUUAUAUUACCUACCUGAUCUGGAUUCAGACCGG